GGGCCCGCACAAGCGGUGGAGCAUGUGGCUCAAUUCGAUGCAACGCGAAGAACCUUACCAGGCCUUGACAUGCACUAGACAGACUCUGAAAGGAGUCCUCCCUUCGGGGCUGGUGCACAGGUGCUGCAUGGCUGUCGUCAGCUCGUGUCGUGAGAUGUUGCGUUAAGUCGCGCAACGAGCGCAACCCCUGUCCUUAGUUGCCAUCAUUAAGUUGGGUACUCUAGGGAGACAAACCCUCUAUGAGGGUGGGAAGGUGGGGAUGACGUCAAGUCAGGAUGGCCCUUACGGCCUGGGCUGCACACGUGCUACAAUGCCCGAUACAGAGGGAAGCAAUACCGCGAGGUGGAGCAAAUCCUCAAAAUCGGGCCCAGUUCAGAUUGUAGUCUGCAACUCGACUACAUGAAGUUGGAAUCGCUAGUAAUGGCGCAUCAGCUACGGCGCCGUGAAUACGUUCCCGGGCCUU
rnacentral:rRNA from 1 species